GUUCUGGGGCCUUAAGAAUUCUUAAGGAACACACCACCCCUCCCCAGCACUUAAUUUGCAUUCAAGUCCGCAAGGUAUUAGCCAGAUGUCUAUGAUCAGAAACUCACAGGCUGACCAAAUUGACCAGGCAAUCUUUUUUUUUUCCCCCAUGCUUCUGUCUCUAAAGUGUUUGGCCACAGGAAGGAUUAAAUCUAAAACUGGCAAGGGCUUCCCUCCAAGGCGGCACACUCAGCUUCCAGAAGACCAUCAGCCAAGCCCAAGGUGGUUCAUUAUGACCAGUUGUGGAAAGCUGGGAGAGAAAGUGAGUCCAGUGGUUUCUCCUUUACAUGGUGCAGUUACUGAAGCCCUGAAACCACAAGUGGCAAUGCAGAAAAACUUUGUGGGUGGGAGUUUCUUUGCCUUGAAUUGCCAUGGGGAUUUCUUUGUCAACAGAGUGUCAGAAGCCUAAAAGAAAAAAAUUCAAAACAAUUCCUUUAACCUUUACUGUCGCUAUUAUGAUGGAGAUCCAAAGAGUUACUCCUAAAAUGAUCUUUCCUGGCCUUGGAAAAUCCAGUAAUGCUUAAGAGGUAGAGGAUAUCUUCCAAUAUAUUAAGAAAAACAUGUGUUCUUUUCCAUGUACAAGUAGUAAGAUUUUAAUCUUUCCACCCAGGUUCUUCCCCCAAACCUGUUAACUAGCAGUCUUUCCCACCUGGUAAAUGGUAGCUCCAUCCUUCUGUGCACUCAGGCCAAAACUCUGGGGGUCAUCUGUUUCAUGUUCUAUGGCUGAAUAACAAAUCACCCCAAGCCUUAAUGGCUUAAACAACAACUGUUUUAUUUGCCCACAAUUCUGUAAAUUGAGCUUAACGUAACUCAGUGGUUUUUCUGCUGCUCUUGCUGCUAGUCACUAGUGUGCUGCAUUUAGCUGGAAGGUGAGCUAGGAGAUAGGCCGAGCUGGGAUGCUGGAUGGCUGAGUGUCCUUCUUACUCCAUGCAGGCUCAGAGCCUCUCUACAGCAUCUUUCCACACCACAUGCCAAAAAGACACGGCAGGUCAAGCUUCCCAGGAGCACAAAAGCAGAAACUACCAGGCCUUCUACAGGUUUAGGUCCAUAAUGGCCCAGCAUCACUUUUGCCACAUUUAUUGCUUAUAUUAAAUCACCUGGUUCAGCCCAGAUUCAAGAGGGAGGGACAGCCUAAGGGCAUUUGUAGCAGAGGCUAGAUUCACUGAGGGCCACCACCUGACAUCCUUGAAUUUUUACUUUCCUUCUGUGAUUCUACAACCAAUCCAUUCACAAAUCCUGUUGGCUUUCCUUUAAAGUGUAGGCUGAAUCUAACUGCUCCUUACCACCUCCACUGCUACAAUCAGAUUGUCUUUUGCCUGAGUUAUUACAAUAGGUUCUGCACUGGUCUCCCUGCUUCCACUCUUGUCCUGACAGUCACCUGUGCACUGGCAGCCAAAAGGAGUAAGAUCAUGGCACCUGUCUGCUCAAAACCUUCCAGUACACCUUGUCCCAGAGUUCCUACAAGGCCCUGGGAUCUGCUCCUUCUUGUUCUCCGACCCCAUACUAUUUCUCUGGCCUCCUUGCUGUUCUUUGAGCAGCCCACACACCCUCCCAUCUCAGAAGCAUUGCACAUGCUUGUACCCCCUGCUUGGAAAGCACUUUCCAGAUGGCUUCACAUGGCUUGCUCUUCCCUCAUCUCCUUCAGCUCUGCUGGAAUGUUACCUUCUUGGCAAGGUCGUCCCUGAGCAAGCUCCUAACCACACCCCCUCCAGCAUUUUGCAUUCCUUUUUUGCUUUAUUUUUCUGUCACGUUUCACUUUCCACAAAUAUAUGGACACUUAAUUUUCAACAAUUAUGGCAUAGCAAAGCAGUAGGGAAAGUGUAUUUUUAAAUGUUCCUGGAGCAAGUAGAUACACAAGUGAAAAAAAUGUGAAUUAUAUCUCAUGCCAUACACAGAAAUAAAUUACAGAUAAACUGUAAAUCUAAAUAUAAAAGACAAAACACAGUUAUUUAUUAAUUUUUGAGACAAGGUCUCCCUCUGUUGCCCAGGCUGGAGCACAGUGGCACGAUCAUGGCUCACCACAGCCUCAACUUCCCAGGCUCAAGCAAUCCUCCCACAUCAGCCUCCCAACUAGCUGGGACUACAGGUGUACACCAUGAUACCCAGAUAAUUUUUUAUAUUUUGUAGAGACAGGGUCUUGCCAUGUUGCCCAGCUUGGUCUUGAACUCCUAGGCUUAAGCAAUCCUCCCACCUUGGCCUCCCAAAGUGCUAGGAUUACAGGUGUGAGCCACCGCACCUGGCCAAAACAAACCUUUAGAAGAUAGUUUGGGGAUGUUCUACUUCUGGGAUGACAGCACGAGAAGCUCCACAGACUCCAACUUCCCAGAGUAUUUGGAAAAUGUUCUAAGAGCAUAAAACAAAUUAAGAAUAUGUUUUCAAGAAAAAUUUACUGAAACUGGCUAAAAACAGCUAGUUUGUGGCAUUUGGGCCAUGACCCACUCCCUGCCCCCCAACUUCCAGCUCAUACUGAUAGAAGAUUCACUCUGGUUGAGUGUGGCCAAGAAGACUGGGGCUGCCUCUCCUUUCAGCUCCCAACCAAGUCCUACUCUAUCUCACCAGGAGGAGCAGGCUGCCGGCAUUUCUCAUCCCCUCCAACUCCAAGUUGAAGAGGCUGGAUCCUGGUGUGCACAUCUGAGAGGCUGGAGGCUACUUUCCUAUAGCCAUCACUUAUUCAUAGACAGAGACUCAACCCCAGGAAAGAAGUUUCUUUUCCCAAGAAAACUGAGGUCCCAAUCACCCUUGCCCCGCAAAUCAUGUAUAAAUCAGAUAUUUCAUUCUGGGAUGGGCAAACAAAGAAGACCAGAGGCUACCGCCCUGCCCAGCACCCAGAAUAAUGGCUUAGAGAGUUUGCUGAGGGAGAGGCAGACUAUAAGAAAAGAGCACUGAUGCCCUCUCCAAAGAAACUGAAUUUAUCUAAAACAGAGUGUGGAGAAGUGCAAGCAUAAGGGUGCUCCUGGUACUAAGAACAACAAGCUAAACAAUACCCUAGCUAGUUCACCAAAAAGAAGCAAAAAAGAGGAAUCUAAGAAGAGUCCUGUGGCAUCAGAAUAAACCUUAAAACUAUCCUUAACAGACUUCUCAAGAUGGCCAAAUAGGAACAGCUCCAGUCUGCAGCUCCCAGUGAGAUCAAUGCAGAAGGGAAGUGAUUUCUGCAUUUCCAUCUGAGGUACCUGGCUUAUCUCAUUGGGACUGGUUAGACAGUGGGCAUGGCCCAUGAAGGGUUAGAAGCAGGGUGGCACGUAGCCUCACCUGGGAAGUGCAAAGGGUUGGAGAACUCCCUUCCCUAGCCAAGGGAAGCUGUGAGGACCUGUGCCGUGAGGGAUGGUGCAUUCUGGCUCAGAUACUAUGCUUUUCCCACAGUCUUCGCAACCCACAGACCAGGAGAUUCCCUUGGGUGCCUAUACCACCAGGGCCCUGAGUUUCAAGCACAAAACUGGGCGGCUGUUUGGGCAGACACCGAGCUAGCUGCAGGAGUUUUUUUCCACACCCCAGUGGUGCCUGGAAUGCCAGCGAGACAGAACCGUUCACUCCCCUGGAAAGGGGGCUGAAGCCAGGGAGCCAAGUGGUCUAGCUCGGCAGAUCCCACCCCCAUGGAGCCCAGCAAGCUAAGACCACUGGUUUGAAAUUCUCACUGCCAGCACAGCAGUCUGAAGUCGACCUGGGAUGCUUGAGCUUGGAGGGGGGAGGGGCGUCCGCCAUUGCUGAGGCUUGAGUAGGCGGUUUUCCCCUCACAGUGUAAACAAAGCCACCAGGAAGUUUGAACUGGGCAGGGUCCACCGCAGCUCUGCAAAGCUGCUGUAGCCAAACUGCCUCUCUAGAUUCCUCCUCUCUGGGCAGGGCAUCUCUGAAAGAAAGGCAGCAGCCCCAGUCAGGGGCUUAUAGAUAAAACUCCCAUCUCCCUGGGACAGAGCACCUGGGAGAAGGGGCAGCUGUGGGCGCAGCUUCAGGAGACUUAAAUGUUCCUGCCUGCCAGCUCUGAAGAGAACAGUGGAUCCCCCAGCACAGUGCUUGAGCUCUGCUAAGGGACAGACUGCCUCCUCAAGUGGAUCCCUGGCCUCCAUGCCUCCUGACUGGGAGACACCACCAAGCAGGGGUUGACAGACACCUCAUACAGGAGAGCUCCAGCUGGCAUCUGGCGGGUGCCCCUCUGGGACGAAGCUUCCAGAGGAAGGAACAGGCUGUAGUCUUUGCUGUUCUGCAGCCUCUGCUGGUGAUACCCAGGCAAACAGGGUCUGGAGUGGACCUCCAGCAAACUCCAGCAGACCUGCAGCAGAGAGGCCUGACUGUUAGAAGGAAAACUAACAAACAAAAAGGAAUAGCAUUAACACCAACAAAAAGGACGCCCACACAAAAACUCCAUGUGAAGGUCACCAACAUCAAAGACCAAAGGUAGAUAAAUCCACAAAGAUGAGGAAAAACCAGCACAAAAAGGCUGAAAAUUCCAAAAACCAGAAUGCCUCUUCUCCUCCCAAGGAUCACAACUCCUUACCAGCAAGGGAACAAAACUGGAUGGAGAAUGAGUUUGAUGAAUUGACAGAAAUAGGCUUCAGAAGGUGGGUAAUAACAAACUCCUCCAAGCUAAAGGAGCAUGUUCUAACCCAAUGAUAGGAAGCUAAGAACCUUGAAAAAAGAUUAGAGGAGUGCUAACUAGAAUAACCAGUCUAGAGAAGAACAUAAAUGACCGGAUGGAGCUGAAAAACCCAGCACAAGAACUUUGUGAAGCAUACACAAGUGUCAACAGCCAAAUCGAUCAAAUGGAAGAAAGGAUAUCAGAGUUUGAAGAUCAACUUAAAUAAAAUGUGAAGACAAGAUUAGAGAAAAAA
rnacentral:lncRNA from 1 species